rnacentral:rRNA from 1 species
AUUGAACGCUGGCGGCAGGCCUAACACAUGCAAGUCGAACGAGUGGCGGACGGGUGAGUAAUGUAUGGGAAACUGCCCGGUGGAGGGGGAUAACUACUGGAAACGGUAGCUAAUACCGCAUACCAGCGGAUGUGCACAGAUGGGAUUAGCUAGUCGGUGGGGUAAUGGCUCACCUAGGCGACGAUCACUAGCUGGUCUGAGAGGAUUACCAGACACACUGGAACUUAGACACGGUCCAGACGCCUACGGGAGGCAGCAGUGGGGAAUAUUGCACAAUGGGCGCAAGCCUGAUGCAGCCAUGCCGCGUGUAUGAAGAAGGCCUUCGGGUUGUAAAGGACUUUCAUCGAGGAGGCGUUACUCGCAGAAGAAGCACCGGCUAACUCCGUGCCAGCAGCCGCGGUAAUUC